rnacentral:lncRNA from 1 species
UUGUAUUAAUUUUCAUCCAUAAAAAUAUCAUCCAAAUAUAAGUUUUGCAAGCCUUGAUGCAAGAGCUCACUCGCUAGCUUCUCAAUACUUGGUAAAGAUCUUGCUACGACUCCACUCUGCGAUUCCAAGCUGAUAGAGGAAAGGAUGGCCAAGAGUUAUCAAAGAGACGACACUCCAUAGAUCUCGGUGCCACUGAGCAACGCAAUAUGCAGAGAAGAAAUCAGUGACGAAGUGUGAGGGUGUGAAUGGCUUCCCGAAUUCCCUCAGAAUAAAGGAAUCAAACUAGAUUGGUCAAUUUUGAUGCUUAAUAACUGCGCCUGCGGAACCACCACCGUCGUUGACCAACUUUGAGCUAGUUUUCCUAGUGGUUGAUUGUAGUAGUUGAUUGUUGAAGCCACCUGAAAUAGUUACUCUCCGCCGCCUACAACUCUUUGCCGCAUACGUAAAAACAAGAGAGUAUUGCGACACCAUCACAGUGCUCUAAUCGAAAACAAAACCAGCUGCCACCCAGGAAGACGAUGCUGAGAACAAAAAAACAUUCACGUUGGAGCUCUAACACACCGAACCGCACCUCUCCGACAGCAAUCAGAAAAAAAAACAGAGAAAAAAAACAAGAGGGGCAAGGAGAGAGUGGAAGAGAAGAGAAGGCGAGAACCAAUUGUCGCCCAAAAUUUUGCCGCAUCGCAAGCUUGCUCUUCAAUCGCAGAAAUCCAAUUCCACUUGGGAUCUAACAGGUGUUGACAAACACCUUCUCAC